UACGUAGGCAGCAAGCGUUGUUCGGAAUUACUGGGCGUAAAGAGUGUGUAGGCGGUGCUCUAAGUCUGUUGUGAAAUCUCCCGGCUUAACUGGGAGGGUGCGGCGGAAACUGGAGUGCUCGAGGGUGGGAGAGGUAAGCGGAAUUCCUGGUGUAGCGGUGAAAUGCGUAGAUAUCAGGAGGAACACCUGUGGUGUAGGCAGCUUACUGGACCACUUCUGACGCUGAGACACGAAAGCGUGGGUAGCAAACAGG
rnacentral:rRNA from 1 species